UACGUAGGGUGCAAGCGUUGUCCGGAAUUAUUGGGCGUAAAGAGCGUGUAGGCGGCCCGACAAGUCCGCUGUGAAAGUCCAGGGCUCAACCCUGGAAUGCCGGUGGAUACUGUCGGGCUAGAGUCCGGAAGAGGCGAGUGGAAUUCCCGGUGUAGCGGUGAAAUGCGCAGAUAUCGGGAGGAACACCAAUGGCGAAGGCAGCUCGCUGGGACGUGACUGACGCUGAGACGCGAAAGCGUGGGGAGCAAACAGG
rnacentral:rRNA from 1 species